UACGAAGGGGGCUAGCGUUGCUCGGAAUCACUGGGCGUAAAGCGCACGUAGGCGGCUUUCUAAGUCAGGGGUGAAAUCCUGGAGCUCAACUCCAGAACUGCCUUUGAUACUGGAGAGCUUGAGUCCGGGAGAGGUGAGUGGAACUCCGAGUGUAGAGGUGAAAUUCGUAGAUAUUCGGAAGAACACCAAUGGCGAAGGCGGCUCACUGGCCCGGUACUGACGCUGAUGUGCGAAAGCGUGGGGAGCAAACAGG
rnacentral:rRNA from 1 species